rnacentral:rRNA from 1 species
AGUAACGGCGAGUGAAGCGGUAACAGCUCAAAUUUGAAAUCUGGCUCCCUGCGGAGUCCGAGUUGUAAUUUGUAGAAGAUGCUUUGGGUGCACGAUCCGGCCUAAGUGCCUUGGAACAGGACGUCGUAGAGGGUGAGAAUCCCGUAUGCGGCCGGUUUCGACGCCCGUGUAAAGCUCUUUCGACGAGUCGAGUUGUUUGGGAAUGCAGCUCAAAAUGGGUGGUAAAUUUCAUCUAAAGCUAAAUAUGGGCCAGAGACCGAUAGCGCACAAGUAGAGUGAUCGAAAGAUGAAAAGCACUUUGGAAAGAGAGUUAAACAGUACGUGAAAUUGUUGAAAGGGAAGCGCUUGCAACCAGACUUGGGCGUCGCUGAUCAUCCAAAGUUCUCUUUGGUGCACUCGACGACGCACAGGCCAGCAUCGGUUGGGGUGGUGGGAGAAAGACUGUAGGAACGUAGCUCUUUUCGGAGAGUGUUAUAGCCUGCGGUGCAAUACCGCCUACCUCGACCGAGGACCGCGCUUCGGCUAGGAUGCUGGCGUAAUGGUUGUAAGCGACCCGUCUUGAAACACGGACCAAGGAGUCUAACAUCUAUGCGAGUGUUUGGGUGCGAAACCCAUGCGCGAAAUGAAAGUGAACGUAGGUGAGAACCCUUUGAGGGGGCAUCAUCGACCGAUCCUGAUGUCUUCGGAUGGAUUUGAGUAAGAGCAUAGCUGUUGGGA